rnacentral:rRNA from 1 species
GAUGAACGCUGGCGGCGUGCCUAAUACAUGCAAGUCGAGCGAACGGACGAGAAGCUUGCUUUUCUGAUGUUAGCGGCGGACGGGUGAGUAACACGUGGAUAACCUACCUAUAAGACUGGGAUAACUUCGGGACACCGGAGCUAAUACCGGAUAAUAUUUUGAACCGUAUGGUUCAAAAGUGAAAGACGGUCUUGCUGUCACUUAUAGAUGGAUCCGCGCCGCAUUAGCUAGUUGGUAAGGUAACGGCUUACCAAGGCAACGAUGCAUAGCCGACCUGAGCGGGUGAUCGGCCACAGAGGAACUGAGACACGGUCGAGACUCCGACGGGGGGCAGCAGUAGAGAAUCGGCCGCAGUGGGCGAAAGCCUGACGGAGCAACGCCGCGUGAGUGAUGAAGGUCUGCGGGUCAUAAAGCUCUGUUAGUAGGGAACAACAUAUGGGUAAGAAACUGUGCACAUCACGACAGUACCUAAACAAAAGGCCGCUACUAACGUC